rnacentral:rRNA from 1 species
AUUGAACGCUAGCGGCAUGCUUUACACAUGCAAGUCGAACGAGUGGCGGACGGGUGAGUAAUAUAUCGGAACCUGCCCAGUAGCGGGGGAUAACUACUCGAAAGGGUUGCUAAUACCUCAUUCUAUUGGAGCGGCCGAUAUCUGAUUAGCUAGUUGGUGGGGUAAAGGCGCACCAAGGCCACGAUCCUUAGCUGGUAUGAGAGGAUGAACAGCCACAGUGGGACUGAGACACGGCCCAGACUCCUACGGGAGGCAGCAGUGGGGAAUUUUGGACAAUGGGGGAAAGCCUGAUCCAGCCAUGCCGCGUGUAUGAGAAGGCCUUCGGGUUGUAAAGUACUUUUGGCAGGGAAGCGUGACCGGAAGAAGAAGCACCGGCUAACUACGUGCCAGCAGCCGCGGUAAUAC